rnacentral:lncRNA from 1 species
AAAAGAGCAAAGCCAGCACAACGGAUGAAAUCGCCUCCGAUUCUUUUGUAUUGCCCAUCUCUCCGAACCUUUCAAUUCUAUUUUUGGGCAAUUUUGUUAAUUCUUUUGAAUUAAGCUUAUAGAAUUUGGAUAGAGAUGUUUUCGGAUAUUUAUUAAUUUUUUCCAUCACCUUUAAUUUUGUAAGUUUGACAUCAAUUAUUUUUGGCCUCCCUCUCACAAGCUAUUGAAGUUUUUUUCUGUCAGGUUUUUCGGUGAUAAUUAUUUGAUUAAUUGUGGCUUGCAGGUAAGAAUUAUUAUAAUUAUUUUCUGAUCUUGUUCCUAAUUCCUUGGAUUUUAAUUCACAAUUAAUUUUAUAACAAGUUAAAGAGACGUUAAUUAGGAUAGAUUCAUUUCCUUAAUAUGGGCUUUUCUACUUCAAUUUAAUUGUAUUUUAUUUUUUUUUAAUUGCUAUGCAGGAAAUCAAGAGCUUAGGAAGAAAAAAACAUGAUAUUCAACUUUCACAAAGGAUUCAGUUGCAAAAUCCACCCUGAUUCUAUCUUUUAUCAACACCAAAAUAUCAUUACAUUACCGCCAUGUAGCUAUUAUUUUGUGUUAUAAUACUUUUUUUUUUGGUUAUAAACAGAAGCUAUUUCGUGAGUUUGAGUUUUGACAUUUGAAUGGAAAAAUUUGACACAAUAAUUUUAAAUUAAUUAUAAAAUUAUAUGGUAUCAUAGUGUUAAAUAAAAGAGGGGUGCCAAUAUAUUUUUCUUAUAAAAAAUUAUUCUUAUAAAACCCCUCUUGUUAUACAUUUACAAUUUUAUCCCUUAAUAACUUGAAUUGUAUUAGUUGUAAAAUUUUAUCUUAUUAAAUCCAUAUAUGAUUUUUCUUACUGACUCUUUAUCUGCUAAAGCUCUUAAAAGUUACAAUUUUUUUUUUUUUGAAAAAAAAAGGUCAAUUGUAAAAGAGUAAGAAUUUGAUAUCAAUUAUUUUUUUCACUUAACAAUUUAUUUUUGUAGGAAAGA